ensembl:snRNA U6 U6 spliceosomal RNA
UUCACUUUGGCAGCACACAUGGGAACAAUGUUAAAUAGUAAUCAUCUUUAGAGACGAUUAGCAUAGACCCUGCACAGGAUGACAUACAAAUUCAUGGAGUGUUCUUUAUUUUU